rnacentral:rRNA from 1 species
GACGAACGCUGGCGGCGUGCUUAACACAUGCAGGUCGAACGAAAAGAGGGAAAGAGCUUGCUCUUUCCGGAAUUGAGUGGCAAACGGGUGAGUAACACGUAAACAACCUGCCUUCAGGAUGGGGACAACAGACGGAAACGACUGCUAAUACCGAAUAAGUUCCAAGGGCCGCAUGGCCCAUGGAAGAAAAGGUGGCCUCUACCUGUAAGCUAUCGCCUGAAGAGGGGUUUGCGUCUGAUUAGCUGGUUGGAGGGGUAACGGCCCACCAAGGCGACGAUCAGUAGCCGGUCUGAGAGGAUGAACGGCCACACUGGAAUUGAGACACGGUCCAGACUCCUACGGGAGGCAGCAGUGGGGAAUCUUCCGAAAUGGGCGAAAGCCUGACGGAGCAACGCCGCGUGAGUGAUGACGGCCUUCGGGUUGUAAAACUCUGUGAUCCGGGACGAAAAGGCAGAGUGCGAAGAACAAACUGCAUUGACGGUACCGGAAAAGCAAGCCACGGCUAACUACGUG